rnacentral:misc_RNA from 1 species
GUUUAUACCAUGCAACAAGGUUUUGCAAAUCUUAAUUGCCUCACUUUUGUCAGUGAGUUUCACGUGGUGGGGUAGAUUUGCCACCAAUGCCGAGGGGCAUGCACUGUUUUGUGGCGGUGUGUGAUUUUCUUCAUCUCAUGCUUUUAUCAAGUGACGAUAAAUAGGAUUAUACGAAGGAAGGCGCGAAGGGGGCGCCAGCACCAUGGCAGGGGAAAUUUGGUGGGUGCCUGGAAUCUGGAAUUUAGCCGUUCUUAUGAACUUAAA